CAGAAACAAGGUUGGUUCCCUUCGGGGAACCACUGCACACGAAACUGCUAGUGUUGGAUUUUCAGCCCUGUUCCGUAUGCAGAGUAGAUAGUCGCAUGACAGAAAUUGGUAUCGCAUGAACCCCAUCGUAAUCACUAAGCUCCAGCGUAAACUGGGCUACACUUUUAUUC
rfam:Erwinia sp. EM595 isolate E_g_EM595 genome assembly, chromosome: 1